CACGUAGGGCGCAAGCGUUGUCCGGAAUUAUUGGGCGUAAAGAGCUCGUAGGCGGUCUGUUGCGUCCGCUGUGAAAACUCGGGGCUUAACCCCGAGCCUGCAGUGGAUACGGGCAGACUAGAGGUAGGUAGGGGAGAAUGGAAUUCCCGGUGUAGCGGUGAAAUGCGCAGAUAUCGGGAAGGAACACCGGUGGCGAAGGCGGUUCUCUGGGCCUUACCUGACGCUGAGGAGCGAAAGCGUGGGGAGCGAACAGG
rnacentral:rRNA from 1 species